rnacentral:rRNA from 1 species
GAUGAACGCUGGCGGCGUGCUUAACACAUGCAAGUCGAACGAAGAUGCCGGAGUGCUUGCACUUUGGCAGACUGAGUGGCGGACGGGUGAGUAACGCGUGGGUAACCCUGCCUUAUACAGGGGGAUAACAGUUGGAAACGACUGCUAAUACCGCAUAAGCGCACGGCAUCACAUGAUGCAGUGUGAAAAACUCCGGUGGUGUGAGAUGGAUCCGCGUCUGAUUAGGUAGUUGGUGGGUAACGGCCCACCAAGCCGACGAUCAGUAGCCGACCUGACGAGGUGACCGGCACAUUGGACUGAGACACGGCCCAAACUCCGUAAC